rnacentral:rRNA from 1 species
AGUGAACGCUGGCGGCAGGCCUAACACAUGCAAGUCGAGCGCCGUAGCAAUACGGAGCGGCAGACGGGAGAGUAACACGUGGGAACGUACCCUUUGGUUCGGAACAACCCAGGGAAACUUGGCUAAUACCGGAUAAGCCCUCACGGGGAAAGAUUUAUCGCCGAAGGAUCGGCCCGCGUCUGAUUAGCUAGUUGGUGAGGUAAUGGCUCACCAAGGCGACGAUCAGUAGCUGGUCUGAGAGGAUGAUCAGCCUCACUGGGACUGAGACACGGCCCAGACUCCUACGGGAGGCAGCAGUGGGGAAUAUUGGACAAUGGGCGCAAGCCUGAUCCAGCCAUGCCGCGUGGGUGAUGAAGGCCCUAGGGUUGUAAAGCCCUUUCAGCGGGGAAGAUAAUGACGGUACCCGCAGAAGAAGCCCCGGCUAACUUCGUGCCAGCCGCCGCGGUAAGAC